rnacentral:rRNA from 1 species
UUUUUUGCCCUCGUUCCUCGUCGUGCGUGCCCCGU